rnacentral:rRNA from 1 species
CAUAUAGGCGGAUUAAUAAGUUUGAAGUGAAAUCCUAUAGCUUAACUAUAGAACUGCUUUGAAAACUGUUAAUCUAGAAUGUGGGAGAGGUAGAUGGAAUUUCUGGUGUAGGGUAAAAUCCGCAGAGAUCAGAAGGAAUACCGAUUGCGAAGGCGAUCUACUGGAACAUUAUUGACGCUGAGAUGCGAAAGCGUGGGGAGCAAACA